UGCAUCGAUGAAGAACGCAGCGAAAUGCGAUAAGUAAUGUGAAUUGCAGAAUUCCGUGAAUCAUCGAAUCUUUGAACAGCGAACAUAUGCGCCCUCUGGUAUUCCGGAGGGCAUGCCUGUUCGAGCGUCAUUGCAACCCUCAAGCUCGGCUUGUGUGAUGGGCGACCGUCCUUCCCCUAGGGGCGGGACGCGUCCGAAAAGCAGUGGCUAGGCCGCGACUCCGGCGCCUGAGCGAAUGGGAUUUCCAACGCUUAUAGGACCGGCCGGCUUCUUUGGCCUUAUAAUUCGUAUGAUACUUGUAUUAGAUCUAUCUAGGUUGACCUCGGAUCAGGUAGGGAUACCCGCUGAACUUAAGCAUAUCAAUAAGCGGAGGAA
rnacentral:rRNA from 1 species